GACGAACGCUGGCGGCGUGCUUAACACAUGCAAGUCGAACGGAAAGGCCCUGCUUUUGUGGGGUGCUCGAGUGGCGAACGGGUGAGUAACACGUGAGUAACCUGCCCUUGACUUUGGGAUAACUUCAGGAAACUGGGGCUAAUACCGGAUAGGAGCUCCUGCUGCAUGGUGGGGGUUGGAAAGUUUCGGCGGUUGGGGAUGGACUCGCGGCUUAUCAGCUGGUUGGUGGGGUAGGGGCUUACCAAGGCUUUGACGGGUAGCCGGCCUGAGAGGGUGACCGGCCACAUUGGGACUGCGAUACGGCCCAGACUCCUACGGGAGGCAGCAGUGGGGAAUAUUGCACAGUGGCGGGAAGCCUGAUGCAGCAACGCCGCGUGCGGGAUGACGGCCUUCGGGUUGUAAACCGCUUUCGCCUGUGACGAAGCGUGAGUGACGGUAAUGGGUAAAGAAGCACCGGCUAACUACGUG
rnacentral:rRNA from 1 species